GGAUGCGAUCAUACCAGCACUAACGCACCGGAUCCCAUCAAAACUCCGAAGUUAAGCGUACUUGGACGAGAGUAGUACUAGGAUGGGUGACCCCCUGGGAAGUCCUCGUGUUGCAUCGC
rfam:Capsicum annuum cultivar Zunla-1 chromosome 7, whole genome shotgun sequence